rnacentral:rRNA from 1 species
GCCAAUUAAAGCGGUACGUGAGCUGGGUUUAGAACGUCGUGAGACAGUUCGGUCCCUAUCUGCCGUGUCAGGACGAAACUUGAGAGGAGCUGUCCCUAGUACGAGAGGACCGGGAUGGACAUACCUCUGGUGGACCUGUUGUGGCGCCAGCCGCACUGCAGGGUAGCUAUGUGUGGAAGGGAUAACUGCUGAAUGCAUCUAAGCAGGAAGCCCACCUCAAGACCAGGUUUCCCUUGAGAGCCGUGGAAGACGACCACGUUGAUAGGCCGGGUGUGGAAGCGCAGCAAUGCGUGAAGCGGACCAGUACUAAUUGCUCGAUCGGCUUGAU